rnacentral:misc_RNA from 1 species
GAUGAAGAACGUAGCGAAAUGCGAUAAGUAAUGUGAAUUGCAGAAUUCAGUGAAUCAUCGAAUCUUUGAACGCACAUUGCGCCCCUUGGUAUUCCGGGGGGCAUGCCUGUUCGAGCGUCAUUACAACACUCAAGCUCUGCUUGGUCUUGGGCGUCACCGGUCCCCGGUGUGCCUUAAAAUCAGUGGCGGCGCCAUCUGGCUCUAAGCGUAGUACAUACUCUCGCUACAGACGUCCGGUGGAUGCUGGCCAGCAACCCCCAAUUUAUCAAGGUUGACCUCGGAUCAGGUAGGGAUACCCGCUGAACUUAAGCAUAUCAAUAAGCGGAGGA